UGGGGAAUUUUGCACAAUGGGGGAAACCCUGAUGCAGCGACGCCGCGUGAUUUAGAAGGCCUUCGGGUUGUAAAAAACUUUUUUAUGGGAUGAAAAUGACAGUACCAUAAGAAUAAGGUCCGGCUAAAUACGUGCCAGCAGCCGCGGUAAUACGUAUGGACCGAGCGUUGUCCGGAAUCAUUGGGCGUAAAGGGUACGUAGGCGGCCCAGUAAGUUAGAAGUGAAAUAAUAUAGCUCAACUAUAUAAAGCUUUUAAAACUGCUAGGCUUGAGAGAUGGAAGGGAAAGUGGAAUUCCUAGUGUAGCGGUGAAAUGCGCAGAUAUUAGGAAGAAUACCGGUGGCGAAGGCGACUUUCUGGUCAUCAUCUGACGCUGAGGUACGAAAGCGUGGGUAGCAAACAGG
rnacentral:rRNA from 1 species